GUUCAUGACAAGCCUUAUAAUGAUAGUAAGACAUGGAACAUCCCCAAGACUACCAUGUUUGAGAAUUCAAGCUGGACUAAAAGGUGGAAAACUUGGGAACAUGACAUGCAGUUCAGCAUUGUCAACUGUAAAACUAAGAAUCAAUAAAUAUUGAGAAGAAAUUCUUACAGACCCACAUGCGAAAAACCAGCCAAGAUCAAAUUCAGAUAAAAUCUACAUGC